rnacentral:rRNA from 1 species
GAUGAACGCUAGCUACAGGCUUAACACAUGCAAGUCGAGGGGAAACGGCAUCGAAAGCUCGCUUUUGAUGGGAGUCGACCGGCGAACGGGCGAGUAACGCGUAUCCAACCUGCCCAUCAAUUGGGAAUAACCUUGCGAAAGUCAGACUAAUGCCCAAUGACAUCCCACGAAGGCAUCCGAAUGGGCUAAAAGAUUUAUCGGUGAUGGAUGGGGAUGCGUGUGAUUUGCUAGUUGGCAAGGUGACGGCCCACCAAGGGAACGAUCAGUAGGGGCUCGGAGAGCAAGCUCCACCACAAUGGAACCGAGGCCCGGACCAAACUGCUAGGGAGGGGAGCAGAGAUGAAGACAGGGGAAGGAGGGAGAGCCUGAACCAGCCAAGUAGAGUGCAGGAUGACUGCGCUAGGGGUCGUAAACUGCUUUGAUAAAAGAAUAAAGUUGGUAACGUGUGACUUUUUGAAGGUACCUUAUGAAUAAGCACCGGCUAACUCCGUG